UUGCUAGUUACCAUCAUUGAGUUGGGGACGUCUAGCGAGACUGCCAGCGAUAAGCUGGAGGAAGGUGGGGAUGACGUCAAAUCAUCAUGCCCCUUAUGACCUGGGCUACAAACGUGAUACAAUGGCUGGAACAAAGGGAGGCGAAGGGGUGACCUGGAGCGAAACCCAAAAAUACAGUCUCAGUUCGGAUUGGAGUCUGCAACUCGACUUCAUGAAGUCGGAAUCGCUAGUAAUCGCGGAUCAGAACGCCGCGGUGAAUACGUUCUCGGGGUUU
rnacentral:rRNA from 1 species